UGAUCUCAUCAAUCUAGCGGGAGAGACAGGAUAACCUGUCCGAGAGUAUAGCGCCACUAUGACUCCGCCGGAAAAAUUACUUUAAAAAUCGCCAAAAAUUACUUGGAGCAAAGGGCAGUCGGCGGAGCUUCGCCAAAGCUGGCGCAGUCGGUUUUGACCUGUAGCAGAGAACCAAUUCUGGAGAACAGCCUCACUUCUUUGAUUGAAUACUCACAUAAUGCAUUGGAACAUGACAUGAGAUUAAGUGUGUAAAGCCAAAUGUCCCGUUUAAAGUUUGACAUUUGCAAUAGCAUUCUAUUUAAAAGGUUUAAUAAUGAUAGAAUGAAGACCAUAAUAAAAGAGACCUCUACUUAGCAAUUCUUACCUUUCUUACCUAUUUGAUGAAGAUGUCUUUUGAAAGGUGUACUGCAAGGAACAAAAUGUUUGUAAAUUCUGCUUUUACCAAGGUGGAUAAUUACUGUACCUUCCUCAUGGAAAAAGUUUUAUUUAAAGUGUUAUUUCUCAUUGAAUACUAUCAAAAAGGAAAAAAAAUGACAUAAACUUUUGAGAUAGAUUUGGCUCUAGUAAGUAUUUAGAUAUAUCACUUGCAUAUCUGGGAGAAGAAAUAAGAGACUAUCAUCAAUACAUUCCCAUCUACUAAAAAAUUUUCUUUUACACAUGUCAAGGGAUUACUUAUAACUUCCAUUUUAUUACUAAUAG
rnacentral:antisense_RNA from 1 species